rfam:Triticum aestivum genome assembly, contig: Triticum_aestivum_CS42_TGACv1_scaffold_591966_7BS
CAUAUACUCCCUCAGUCUAGAAAUACUUGUCAUUAAAUUGAAAUGAAUGUAUCUAGAUGUAUUUUAGUUUUAGAUACAUUCAUUUUCAUCCAUUUUAAUGACCAGUAAUUUCGGACGGAGUGAGUAUUAA